rnacentral:lncRNA from 10 species
AUGGGACACACACUUGGCCCCCUCCUGCUGGGUGAUUUCUACUUGUUUGUGGGUGAUGCAGGGCCUGGGGAGAGAGCUGCCCAGGAGGUAGUAGUCCUCAUACAGCAUACUGGACUGGAUGGCCAGCCAGAUGAACUCCUCCACAAACUCUCUGCUGACAUCCUCAAUGAACACCUUUUUGGCCCGAAGCUUCAGUGCCUGGCUUCCUUGAAGUCUUCCUUCUGGCUGGUGUUGCCCAGAUUUGCUUCGGAAGACAGAAAGCUCCAAAUCCUAAUCCAAGAAUGCUUAGGAAGAGGGAUAGAAGCAGAAACGGGAGAGAAUGGAGAGACUCUUUAAGACGAAGAAAGAAUGUUGGUCUUCAGCUUGUUCUUCAAGUAAAGAUUCACG